rnacentral:lncRNA from 1 species
AUAAUUUCUUAGAAAGAAUAGUAAAUCACAUAGUUAAUUUACAACUUUCUAAGAAUUAACAAUUAAACAGUUAAUUAAAGCAUUAAAGAAGUUUUCUAAUUUCUAUGCUUAUUGUGAAUUUAUAUGUUGGUAUGCUAAAUGAAGGGACAUAGAAUAUUGUGAAACCAACGCCUUAUAAAUAUUGUGAAACCAACGCCUUAUAAAUUUCAUGCAUCCUAAGAGCUUUCCUUCAUUGACCAUGAUCAGGAACGCUCAAAGCCAAAUAUUUGAAAAACAAAAACGUAUACUAACUGAACAGUUCAGGAGCUAUAAAAGCCUAAAAUUAAAGGUAAAG